CAGUCGCCGCGGGAAUACGUAGGGUGCGAGCGUUAAUCGGAAUUACUGGGCGUAAAGCGUGCGCAGGCGGUUUUGUAAGACAGGCGUGAAAUCCCCGGGCUCAACCUGGGAAUGGCGCUUGUGACUGCAAAGCUAGAGUGCGGCAGAGGGGGAUGGAAUUCCGCGUGUAGCAGUGAAAUGCGUAGAUAUGCGGAGGAACGCCGAUGGCGAAGGCAAUCCCCUGGGCCUGCACUGACGCUCAUGCACGAAAGCGUGGGGAGCAAACAGGAUUAGAUACCCCGGUAGUCCCUGUCUCUUAUAC
rnacentral:rRNA from 1 species